rnacentral:misc_RNA from 1 species
UUUCCGUAGGUGAACCUGCGGAAGGAUCAUUAUUGUAUAACCGAGGUGCGAGGGCUGUCGCUGACCCGAAAGGUCGUGCACGCCCGAGUGCCCUCACACACAUCCAUCUCACCCCUAUGUGCACCACCGCGUGGGUCCCCCUUUGGCUUGUUCGGAGGGGGGCUUACGCUUUCACACAAACUUUGUAUGCAGUGUAGAAUGUAUUUUUUGUUUUUGCGAUCACGCAAUCAAUACGACUUUCAACAACGGAUCUCUUGGCUCUC